GACGAACGCUGGCGGCGUGCCUAAUACAUGCAAGUUGAGCGCUGAAGGUUGGUACUUGUACCAACUGGAUGAGCAGCGAACGGGUGAGUAACGCGUGGGGAAUCUGCCUUUGAGCGGGGGACAACAUUUGGAAACGAAUGCUAAUACCGCAUAAAAACUUUAAACACAAGUUUUAAGUUUGAAAGAUGCAAUUGCAUCACUCAAAGAUGAUCCCGCGUUGUAUUAGCUAGUUGGUGAGGUAAAGGCUCACCAAGGCGAUGAUACAUAGCCGACCUGAGAGGGUGAUCGGCCACAUUGGGACUGCGACACGGCCCAAACUCCUCCGGGAGGCAGCAGUAGGGAAUCUUCGGCAAUGGACGAAAGUCUGACCGAGCAACGCCGCGUGAGUGAAGAAGGUUUUCGGAUCGUAAAACUCUGUUGGUAGAGAAGAACGUUGGUGAGAGUGGAAAGCUCAUCAAGUGACGGUAACUACCCAGAAAGGGACGGCUAACUACGUG
rnacentral:rRNA from 1 species